AUGUCAGAUGUCAGCCACUCUGCCAGACCUUGGAAUCUGUGGUUCUCCAGCAGGGGCGGGUGUGGCGGAGGCCCAGGUAGAAGGUGGUGGGCAGGUGGGCCACAGUGGUCCGUGCCCCAGCUCAUGGUGAUCCCUCUUCCUCCUCCUCGUCUUCCAGGGGUGAGGCAUCAGUUAGACCAGCUCUCAGAGUUACCCAUCCAGGCGCUGGUGCUGGGUCCCAUCCUUGAAAGGAACAUUGCCAAUCUGAGCAGGAUUCUCCCAGUCCACGGCUCUCUGCAACACCUGCGGGCCCUCGUGGAUGAUGGGCUCCAGAAAGGUAUGGGCUACACCUAUGCCUGUGUGGGUUCUGGCAGGCCUUGGGUCUCCUGGGGGGAGAAGCGCGCCACUCCAUGGUGGAGCACAUCAGUGCAGUGCGUGUUGACACCACCUCUCCACCCGUCUACUCCCCGUGGUUUGCAAAGCAAGCGAGGGGGAAGCCCCCCCCCUCUCUCUCUCCAGCAUCAGCUGUGGAGAGAGCCUUUCCUGCUGGACCCCUGGCCACGAGGCAAAGGGGUCUUUCAUCUUCCAGGACUGAGCUCUCUCUCUCUCUCCAGCCAUGUCUCUCCCCUUUUUUUUCUCAUCCCAACCCUCCACCCCGCCUGCCCAGGGAUCCGCCUCCUCCUUGAACUCCCCGCCUGGGAAGAGGAACUGGAUCCAGCCACUGAAGACAACCAAACAGGCCAGCACCUCCAGGUACGGCGUUGUUGCUGCUGCCGUUUGCUCCACCCCUUCAUCGCUUCCUCCUCGCGUGCAGGCAUGGGCUGUGAGAGAGGGCAGACCGAGGCCCCACAUGGUCGGCAGCGCUCUGCACUUGGUCUUAGGGUGAGGCCGGUCUCCAGUUCAGGCCCUGCUGGGAGGCGCCCCUCGACUGGGUCUAUUCUGAGAGGUAGGGGGCAGAGGUGGGGGGGCAGCACCCCACAUCUUUGGCAGUCACAUAGAAUCAUCCAGCAAGUGUUUCAGGCUACAUGUGCUGAAAUUCUUUUCUAG
rnacentral:lncRNA from 1 species